rnacentral:rRNA from 1 species
ACCCGCUCAUUCUAUACCCCAUUAUUUGCCCGACCCCUGUCUGCUCAGUUUUAGGUUGGGGUGACCACGGAGUAUAAAAUAACCUCCAUGAAGAAGGGGAUAUUUCCCUUAUUAGAGAACUACACUUCCAAGAACUAAUAAAUUAAUUUUCAAUGACCCGAUACCCGAUAAUCGAUCAACGAACCAAGUUACCCUGGGGAUAACAGCGCAAUCCACCCUGAAAGCCCUUAUUAACAGGUGGGUUUACGACCUCGAUGUUGGAUCAGGGUAUCCCAGUGGUGCAGCAGCUACUGAGGGUUCGUUUGUUCAACGAUUAAAACCCU